rnacentral:lncRNA from 1 species
GGUGAGGGCUCCAGCAUGGCAGGCUGCAGGUCCCGAGCCCUGCCCCCUUGCCCCGCGGGGAGGUGGCUGAGGCCCAGCGAAAAUUCGAGCGCGGCGCCGGCGGGCCAUCACUGUUGGAGGACCCAGUGCACCCUCCGCAGCUGUUGGCCCGGGUGCUAAGCCUCUCACUGCCCAGGGCCGGCGGCGCCAGCCGACCGCUCAGAAUGCGGGGCGCGCCGAGCCCGCGCCCACCCGGAAGUCGCGCUGGACCUGCGAGCACCGCAGGCAGCCCAGGUUCCGGCCCGCGCCUCUCCCUCCACACCUCCCCGCCAGCAGAGGGAGCCCGCUCAGGCCUCAGCCAGCACAGGGAGGGGCUCCCACGGUGCAGCUGCGGGCUGAAGGGCUCCUCAAGCGCGGCCAGAGUGGGCUGAGGCCGAGGAGGCGCGGAGAGCCAGCGAGGGAUGCCAGCAAGCUGUCACCUCUCAGAAAUACAGGAAGAACAUCAAUAAUGUUCGAAGUUAUAAAUUGCGGAGGUCAGAAGUCAGAAAACAAGGUGUCUGCAGGACCAACCUCUCCUCUGGAUGCUCUAGUGCGUUUUAUCACAAGAACAUGACCUUUAAGCACAAGAACACCUUGUAUUCCACCACUAAAAACAGAAAUGACAUCUACCUUCACUGCUUCCCUAUUUCUCUCCAUCUUUACUGACUUGGUAUUUUGUUGUUGCUGUCAUUUCUGGUUGUUGGUCAAUUUUCAUUUCUAUUCUUAUUUUGCUGAUAAUUCUUAUAAAUCAGUGCUGAAUUUUGUCAAAUUAUUUUUCUGCAUCUCUACAGAUGAUCAUUUUAUGUUUUUGUCUCUGUGAUAAUUUGGUGAAUGUCAUUGAUCAAUUUUUAAAUAAUGAAUAUCUUUGCAUUUAAGAUAAUAUUUUUCACUAUUAAUGUUAUCUCUGAAAUGAAAGCUAAACCUAGUCAAUAGAUAUUAGAGGUGCAUGAUUUUUAAAAUUGUAUAAAAUUAGAUAAAAAAUACAAAGAAAUAUAUAUAAUUUUAAAACCAUGUAAAAAUGUAAAUGCCAAAUGAUAGAGCAUUAAAUGAAGCUUGUAAUAUUAAAUACAAUCUUUAGAAACUCUUUUGCAGUGCAGGAAAAAAAUAGAACUGAAAACAAACCAGAAGAAAUCACAGAUAUAAAAUUAAAGAGGAUAGAAUUAAGCACCUGAGUUCCCACAUCUAAAGUGAAAAUCUAAGAAUUUAAAUAUCAUUCAAAUACAGACUAAAAUACAAUAUAAAAUAAAAUUUCCUGAGCUAAUUUUUAAAAUACUGCUUAAUUUGUAGCUAAAAAUGCAGACUAAUUUUCUGACUAUAUUACUAUAAAAACCUUCUACAAAUAUUUUUUAACUAAAAUUAUAAGAAAAACAUCCACCAUAAACACGUAAGAUUAAUAUUUUCAUUUCUGAAGUAUAAAAUGUCUGGAUAGACUUGAGCUUGUUGCUUUAGUUUUAUAUGUGAAGACUGGAAAAAUUCUGUUUUGUUUUGGAAAAUAUUUUGAGCUAGAAAUGUUGUAUUCCACAUUUGUUAGGAAUGGAAGUCUUUAAAAUAUGAAAUAUUUCCAACUGAAGAAAAAUAGUGAAAAUGAACUUUAUCUGAAUAAGAUUAAUGAAAAUUAUAUGUUGAAAAAGUAAAAUAGUUAUGUGUACUAACAGUGACUACUAACCCAACAAUAUAAAAUUAAGUAAAAAUAUUAUUACCAUGUUAAAUACAAAUUAAAAUUAAUUAUAAGAAAGUUAAGAUCUAUGAUUAAAGUAUUAAAAUAAAAUGAGACUUCACAAAUUUAAAAGCAAAUUGGUGAAUGACAUAUUUUUUGAAAUAAUAAAUUCUUUGGCAUAUUUUAUAUUUUUUAUUAUAAAUGAAAAUUAUUUAUUUGAAAUAUUUAAAGGAACAAAAUAUUUGCAGCUCUAUUUUAUUGAGAAAGUAAUUACAAAACAAAAACAAGGAGUUUUUGUAAUUACAAAAGAAUAUAUUAAUAAUAUUAUUUAGAAGCACAAAACCAGAAAAGCUUUAUAUUAUUUCUAACAAUAAGUGUAAACCAUCUAAUUUUCUGAAAAGGGGUGGAAAUAAAUAUUUAACAAAGAAGAUGUUAUUCUUAAAUUGUAAUAUGUACAUUGCCUAAAAAUAAAAAGGUAGUUGAAGAUAUAUUGUGAACAACAAAAAAUGAAGAGCUGAUAAUAUUAAUGUGCGAAGGAAACUCAUAACAUAUUGUACUAAUUAUAAAUCAGUGUAUUGACAAAACCUAAGUCCUCAAUUAUUAUUGACUGUUAUUGACAUAUUAAUGAUAGAAUAUUAAAUAUAGAAUAUAAUAAAGUGAUUUAGAAUAAAAAAGAGAAAGCGAUAGACAUGAAUAGAAACAAAAUGCAACUGUUCAAUAUUAAAAGCCUUUCUAAAUUGCUUGUGUUUUUCUAGUGACCUGUUUCGCUAUGCAGUGUAGGCUCAGGUGUCUAGAUUUUAGUUGCAGAUAAACACAGGUAGUAUUUUCCAGAUCUCAGAAUGACCAGUUACAUAAAAAUAGGCCAUAAACCAUAUAUUUCAUUCUUAUGGUUGACAAACCUCUAAUUCACCUGAAAAUAUUAAAAAGAAAGAAGACAGACGUGACAGUGGUUGGAAGUUGAGGAUAAGAAGAAGUUGGCAGAAAUAAGCUUUCUUCUUUUGGACAGCAAUGCAUGAUAAAAAAAUUAAACUAAAUUCAGUUCAUUUCCACUAACUGGGACUUAUUUAGAAACUUUAAGGAAGUCUUUGAAGAAUUUCAAUUGAGGAGUAAAUAAGGGCCAAUUUAUUUCAUAGUAUGGACUCUCAAGACAAUAUACAGCAGUGCUUCUCAAAGUUAAACAGUAUAUGAGUGACCUGGAAAUGAAGAUGCAGAUUUAACAGGGCUGGAGAGAAGUCUGAGAUUCUAAAUUUCCAAUGAAUUAAAUUACAAAGAGGAGAAAAUAAGGUUAUUGCUUACUUUAUAUACAUUCACAAACACAGGAUAAUCAAAUAAUUGUUUAAAGUAUUGCUCUGAUAAGAAUUAAAUUACAUAUUUCAUAGGAAACAUUUUCUUUACAUUCGGGUUUUAUCUAUUAUUAGAAUAAUAAUAGAAUCUUGACUUUAUGUAACUCUAUAUUCCAAACAACUAGAAACUUUUCGAUAGCAAUUGUUCACCAUUUAAUAACAUUUUUCCAAGAUAUCUAAUGCACUCAAGGACAAAAUAGCUGCCUUCCAGUGAUUUCCAAUUUAUUCAAUUUUCAGGCAAUCUGUCUGCCCACACAAUGACAGAUUGUAGUUACAUUCUUGCCACGCUCCAAACAGCUAAGCCAAUUGUUUUCAAUCUUUUUUCUUCAGCAACUCCAUCUCUUAAAGUACUUCAGAGUAGUUCAUGAAAGGAUUCCUCUUUAGUUAAAUGGCUAUACAGCUCUCCCAUCAUCCAAAAUAAUCAGUGGAGAGAUAGCAAUAUUUUUCAUUACAUUAGGCCAAGUUCCAUUGCUUCCUUCAUGUUGUAAUCUGAUCAGAAACACCACUAUAGAUUCAAUAAUUGAGUUUAGAGUUUCAGAGAAUUUGGGGUCACAGAACAUCUAUGUCUAUUUUGUAAAGAUUAUUGCAUAUUACUGAAAUAGCUUGUCAAACACUGCAGUCUGCUUAAAGUAUCAAAAUAGAAAUGUUGAAUGCUGUGUCUGCACAGAGUUCAUUUAAGCAAAGAAUCUACUAGGCUCUUAAGUCUGUUAAUGCAAAUUCCUGAAUACAAUUGACCCUCCAUAACCCCAUUGUGGGUGGAUUUAACUAACAUGAAUCAAACAUAUUUGUUAAAAGAAAUACCAAAAAUAAUUUUUAAAAAGAAAUACAACAAUAAAACAAUGCAAAUAAAAAACAAUCCUUAUAACAAUUAUGUGCAUAGCAUUUAUAUUGUAUUCAGUAUUAUUAAUGUAGGUAAUCUGGAAAUGAUAUAAAGUAUACAAGAGGGUGUGUGUAAGUUAUAUGCAAAUACUAGGCCAUUUUAUAUAAGAAACUUGAGCAUCUCUGGCUUUUGCUAUGAAGGGAUGAUGGUGGUAGGAUUGGUGGUGGUCCUGGAACAAAUCCCCAGCAGGUACCAAGGGGGACUGUAGACCCCAAAGCUGUUAGGAAUGGGUCACAGCAGCAGGAUUGAGGUAGGAAUGCUCCCCACAGAAAACAUCAACCACCUGUUGAUUUGUGAAUCUGCUCUUCUCAGGCAUGCCUUCAAAUGCUAUAACCUGGAGAUUCAACUCAUUUUCAUGCUGCUAAGUAGGAAUAGGUGAUUCAAUUCCCCAAGAAAGUGACAGAGGUCCCUGAAAUAUAGAUUUAAAGUUACAUAGUGUCAAAUGCUAGUCAUUUUCUCUUUGCUCGAUGGUAUCCUCUCAGAAAAACCUUUCAUAAUAUUUCUAAUUCAUUUACCAGAUUUAUAGAAUCAUCAAAUUAUCUAUCAAUGUGUUUUUCAAAUAUUUUGUGAAGUGCCUAGGGUAACAACCUAUUGUUCGAACAUAUUUUGUGAAGUGGCUAGGGUAACAACAUAAUGUUAGAACUUAUGUUCGUAUUUAAAUACAAAUGUAUUUUGGUUGAGUGAUUACUCAAGGUCACUGAGGAGUCCACAAGGUUAACGUCCUGACUCUAGAACCAUUGUUAUAUAGAGAUAUAUAAAUAGCUGAUUUAAUAUUAUAGGCUUAGCAAAAUAUUUAAUAAAUAAGGUCUUAGUAAAACAACACACAUGUAUUUAUCCACUUAUUUAAUUUUGUUUUUCCAUUUCUUCUGAACAUAAGUUCCUGAGGACACGGGCCUUUUUUCACAGUUCAUUUUUGGAUUCCAACAUCUAGCCAGUACUUUGCAAAGAGCACUGAAUUUGAAAUAAAUUUCUCAGUUAAUGAUUUGAAUCAUAUAAAAUAUUUAGUAAAUUUGAAAACUAGUAACCGUGUAAAGUGAUUAAAACAAACAUACUAGAGGGUAAUAAUCCCCCACCCCUUGCCUUCUUCCUUUACAUCCACUUCAUUCUUAUUCUUGUCUACUUCCCCUGCUCCACCCAGGGAACGUGGUUAGCCCAUCAACUGCAAAGAUUGUUCUCAUAUAAUAUUGUUCUGAUGGAUAAUGAGACUCUGAAAGUGGAACAUAAACAGAUAAAACAAAAACAAACAGAAAAAAACCCAAAAACCUAAACUCAACUUCAGUUAAAGCAGAAAAUAUCUGUCCAGCCUAAACCAGGCAUACUCAACAGACUUCUUCUGUUAGAAGCCUGAUCCUACUUCAGUCUGGAACUACCUAGUCUUCAGGUUUGCCUGGUGCUCACCAGCUGAAGAAAUCCUUUAACGACCUUUAUUCAGUCAAGUAAAUUGUUUUAUUUUGGCAACUUGCAUGUUAUUUUUUAGGUUUUCAUUUAUUUUUUUUUAUAUUUAAAGUCAUAUUUUCUUCCUUUUAUUCACUUUGCUGGUCUUUCUCACUUUGAUUUUUUUUUUUUGCCUUGUUUUGCAUUUGUUUACUUUAACAUUGUUUGUAACUUAUCUCUUUUAUUUUGGAAAUUAUUCACAUUAUCAGUUUUCUUUUGCUAGGCAAUUUUGAUAUUCUAAUAAACAUUAUUAACAUAAAAUAUAAAGUUUAUUAACACCAAGCCCAAACAAUACCAAGUCUUAGGGCUCUUUAAUUGCAAUUAUUUAAAAAUAUUUGCUACAAAUUGUUCAUUAUUUUAUAUUUACAUUGUUUUUCUUAUUCCCACAAAUCACAUAUUGUUGGUGUGUUUGUUAAAUAAAAUUGUGAUUGCUUAUAUAUAUUUUUUCACAUCCUUUCUUCUUCUAAUAUUUUGGAAUUUAC